rnacentral:rRNA from 1 species
GACGAACGCUGGCGGCAUGCCUAACACAUGCAAGUCGAACGAAAACUUCGGGUCUAGUGGCGCACGGGUGCGUAACGCGUGGGAACCUGCACUUAGGUUCGGAAUAACUCCCCGAAAGGGGUGCUAAUACCGGAUAAUGUCUUCGGACCAAAGAUUUAUCGCGUCUGGAUGGGCACGCGUUGGAUUCGCUAGUUGGUAGGGUAAAAGCCUACCAAGGCGACGAUGCAUAGCUGGUUUGAGAGGAUGAUCAGCAACACUGGGGCUGAGACACGGCCCAGACUCCUACGCGAGGCAGGAGAGGGUAAUAUUGGACAAUGGGCGAAAGCCUGAUCCAGCAAGGCCGGGUGAGUGAUGAAGGCCUUAGGGUUGUAAAGCUCUUUUACCCGGGAUGAUAAUGACGGUACCGGGAGAAUAAGCUCCGGCUAACUCCGUG